AUGGACCACCAACAGUCCAGGUUUUGUCAGUUUCUCCAUUGGAAUAAAACAAGAAAAUAUAUAAAGCCUGGACUGUUGGUGGUCCAUGGGGACU